CUCACAGGCUCCUCCUCACUAUCUGCAUAUGGAAUCCCCACUGCCCAAUCACCAUGGUACCACAGGCUCUUCCUCCCUAUCUGCAUAUGGAAUCCCCACUGCCCAAUCACCACGGCGCAUCUGUUCACAAACUCUCGUGAGAGCUGCCACACAUGGGAUUAGCCACGGGCCACUGGCCAUGGGUAUGCCUUAGAGAAUUAAAUAUAUAGAUUCCUCUCCCACUGUUAAUUGAUUGGGCAUGGUAUAGCCUCUAACUAAAAUAAUUUCUUUCUCACUUUUCCUUCUUUUUUGCAAAUGUAACUUCUUAGGUGCUAUGGUGUGGUCUGAAGGAACAUGAUAGAUAGAUAGAUAGAUAGAUAGAUAGAUAGAUAGAUAGAUAGAUAGAUAGAUAUUAUCUGGAAGAAGAAAGAAGGCAGGAAAUACAGACAGACAGACAGACAUUUUUGUUUUAAGCUCAUAAGAGAUACUGGAAUAUUCUCAUAACUAAGGAAGAAUUUUUGUCUGUAUGCUUCUUGAUGCAUACAGCACCUUCAGUGUACAGGGGCACUUUAUAAAGAGCCAGAAUUGUGUAGUGGACAGAUUGUUGGAACUGGAUGAUGAAUGGUAAUUUCCUUUUCAGCCAUGAAGCUCACUUGGUGACCUUGGGCCAACAACUCUUUCAACCUAAUCUAUCCCACAGUGUUGUGAGAAUAAAAUGGGAUAAACUCAUACACAUGGCUCCUUGGAGCAAGGAGAAGAUAUCCCUUUAUUAGAUCAUGCAGAUUGGUUUUUAUUUGACCUCUACCAAUAAUCCUGAAAAAUUAAGAACACAAAAUGAAAGAAUUGUGUGCUACAUCUUCAAGAAAUUUGUAUCAUAAAGUAGAACAUAGGAAGCUGCUUUAUCAGAUCCUUGGUUGAUCUAGCUCAAUAUAUUCUGCACUGACUGGCAGCAGCUCCAAGGUUUCAAGCAGGAGUCUUCCCCAGCCCUACUUGGAGAUGCUAAAGAUUGAACCUGGGACCUUCUGUAUGCAACACAGAUGCUCUACUAUUGAGUUUCUUCUUAGAUCUUUGCUGACUAGAUAUGUGCAGCUGCAAAAUCCAUGGCUUGUUGGGGACCUUCAAGCAACCUUGAUUCCUGCAACCUGAGGCUUGGGAUACACGACUGUCCUUGCUUCUUUUUCACCUCCCAUGACAAUGACCUUGAGUGAGCCCAGCAGGUGAUGCUGGCUUGAUUGAACUGACUCCAUCAGUUGUGGGUGCUGUAGGUCAGCCAGAUACACUCACAAAAAAACAGUGAGCUGGCAGUGGCAAUUUAUACAAGGUAAAACCUAGGUACUGUGGACUCCAGUACACAGGAAUACACAUGCACCUACCCAUAGACACCCAAAUCAUUCUCAUACAUACCACCCACUGCAAGUAUGCCAUUCAGAUAGUCUUAAGCAACUUACAGUGGACAUAGAUUACACUAACUCCCCACCACCACCCGCAAACGUGCCCAUUCACAUUUAAAGCACACCCAGCUCCUUUCUCCUUCAACAGGUUGUGGAAGCAAUAUUACGGUGUUUCCUCUUUCCUCAGGUUGUCCACAACACAUUUUGGUCAAAGCAUAUAAAUAUUAUUCAGCACUCUCUCAUGGAAGUCAGUGAGGCUGAAAUUAUAGAUCCCCUGCUAACUUGGCAAAGAGGCACCUUUUAAUGUGGUGAUUCUCUUUAUUUAGCAGCAGGGGGAGAGUAACUGGCCCUAUCCAGCACAGUACCUCCAGUGACUGUUCCUGGUGUCUAUAUUAUGUUUCUUUUUAGACUGUGAGCCCUUUGGGGAAAGGGAUCCAUCUUAUAUAUUUAUUAUUUCUCUGUGUA